GAAGUAAGAAAUUCAAAGGAAAGCUUCUAACUUUACCUUUAAGCUGUGAAAUUCAGUUUAUACUUCU
rnacentral:tRNA from 1 species